UACAGAGGGGGCAAGCGUUGUUCGGAAUUACUGGGCGUAAAGGGCGCGUAGGCGGCCUGCUAAGUCGAACGUGAAAUCCCCGAGCUCAACUCGGGAACUGCGUCCGAGACUGGAAGGCUCGAAUCCGGGAGAGGGAUGUGGAAUUCCAGGUGUAGCGGUGAAAUGCGUAGAUAUCUGGAGGAACAUCGGUGGCGAAGGCGGCAUCCUGGACCGGUAUUGACGCUGAGGCGCGAAAGCUAGGGGAGCAAACAGG
rnacentral:rRNA from 1 species